CGGGACGGGUGAGUAAUGUCUGGGAAACGUGCCUGAUGGAGGGGGAUAACUACUGGAAACGGUAGCUAAUACCGCAUAACGUCGCAAGACCAAAGAGGGGGACCGUUCGGGCCUCUUGCCAUCGGAUGUGCCCAGAUGGGAUUAGCUAGUAGGUGGGGUAACGGCUCACCUAGGCGACGAUCCCUAGCUGGUCUGAGAGGAUGGCCAGCCACACUGGAACUGAGACACGGUCCAG
rnacentral:rRNA from 1 species